rnacentral:guide_RNA from 1 species
AUAUAUAACACGAACAUCUAGUGCAUGAUUAAGGUAGAUUGAUUAAU